GGUGACCUGGUGAGGCAACUUAUGAGAGAGCAUCCAUCGGAAUUGGGGUGUCUUGUUCAUCUUUAAGGAACAGGUGUAGCCGUACAAUAUUAAAAGACAGAACAUGCAGAUCCUUAUUUAGAUGUAGCCAUCAAGAUAAUUGAAGUACAAGUCAUAACUUUCCAUUGCAUCAUGCCAUGAAACAGAAUUGACAGUAUCGUACAUGAAUAUGCAGAUCAAAUUUUUCAAUAUUUUGCAGUCACUCAAUUAUCCUUCGGUUAUUAUUAAUGAACAUAAUAAGGCAGGCAAAUAAUGAUUCAGUGUCCUCUUAUAAUUCAUCCAAAAGAGGUGCUAUUUUUCUCCCUGGGAAAAGGUCAAUGAUCAUUUUAGAGCUCUCAAUCACGUGUUAAUGGUUUAUAUGAAGGUUUGUUAGGUGCUAAGAAAAAUGGCAGGAAAUUCACAUGCUCAGACAUGGCUAUUAUGUAAUAUAGCUUUGUGCUCGUAUCAAUUACAUUCAUCGUCUCGACUUGAG
rnacentral:lncRNA from 1 species